GACGAGGGGUCCAAGCGUUGUUCGGAAUCAUUGGGCGUAAAGCGGGUGUAGGUGGCUUUGUAAGUCAGGAGGGAAAUCCCCGAGCUUAACUUGGGAAGUGCUUUUGAUACUGCGAAGCUUGAAUGUGGGAGAGGAUCGUGGAAUUCCAGGUGUAGUGGUGAAAUACGUAGAUAUCUGGAGGAACACCGGUGGCGAAGGCGGCGAUCUGGCCCAACAUUGACACUGAGACCCGAAAGCAUGGGGAUCAAACAGG
rnacentral:rRNA from 1 species